rnacentral:rRNA from 1 species
GACGAACGCUGGCGGCGUGCCUAAUACAUGCCAGUUGAGCGCUGAAGGCUGGUCCUUGUCCCCACUGGAUGAGCAGCGAACGGGUGAGUAACGCGUGGGGAAUCUGCCUUUGAGCGGGGGACAACAUUUGGAAACGAUUGCUAAUACCGCAUAAAAACUUUAAACACAAGUUUCAAGUUUGAAAGAUGCAAUUGCAUCACUCAAAGAUGAUCCCGCGUUGUAUUAGCUAGUUGGUGAGGUAAAGGCGCACCAAGGCGAUGUUACAUAGCCGACCUGAGAGGGUGAGCGGCCACAUUGGGACGGGGACACGGCCCAAACUCCUACGGGAGGCAGCAGUAGGGAAACUUCGGCGAUGGACGAAAGUCUGACCGAGCAACGCCGCGGGAGUGAAGAAGGAUGUCGGGUCGUAAAACUCUGUUGGUAGAUAAGAACGUUUGUGAGGGUGGAAAGCUCAGCAAGUGACGGUAACUACACAGAAAGGGACGGCUAACUACGUG